rnacentral:rRNA from 1 species
GACGAACGCUGGCGGCGUGCUUAACACAUGCAAGUCGAACGGAAAGGCCCUUCUUUUGUGGCGUGCUCGAGUGGCGAACGGGUGAGUAACACGUGAGUAACCUUCCCUUUACUUUUGGGUAACUUCAGGUGACUGUGGCUCAUACCGGGUAGAAGCUCCUGCUGCAUGGUGGUGGUUAGCAAGUUUCGGCGGUUGGGGAUGGACUCGCGGCUUAUCAGCUUGUUGGUGGGGUAGUGGCUUACCAAGGCUUUGACGGGUAGCCGGCCUGAGAGGGUGACCGGCCACAUUGGGACUGAGAUACGGCCCAGACUCCUACGGGAGGCAGCAGUGGGGAAUAUUGCACAAUGGGCGGAAGCCUGAUGCAGCAACGCCGCGUGCGGGAUGACGGCCUUCGGGUUGUAAACCGCUUUCGCCUGCGACGAAGCGUGAGUGACGGUAAUGGGUAAAGAAGCACCGGCUAACUACGUG